GCUUCCAUCAAAAAAUCUCACACCUCCUGAUGAAUUCUUAUGCCCAUCUGAAAGUUUUAGACACAUGGAAAUCAUUGAGAAAAAAUCCAAGAGAUAAUUCAUGCAGAAGGACUCUUCAGAAUAUUUUUCUCGAUGAUUCUCUGAUGAGUCGCACAACUUCCCAUGGUAUAUUUUUUUUCCACCAUCCAUCCACAUAAUUUUGUCCAUCC
rnacentral:lncRNA from 1 species